rnacentral:lncRNA from 1 species
GUUUGAUUUUAACAAAAAUUGAAUCCUUGGUGUUCUUUAAUAUGUUGAAUCUAAAAAUGUACUUAGAUUUUUGAUUAUUGGUCCAGUUUUCAAGUUGGUCCAAAUCGGGGUCCAAAAUUAAACUUUGUUUGAUUUCAUCAAAAAUUGAAUAAUUGGGGUUCUUUGAUAUGCCAAAUCUAACUGUGUAUGUAGAUUCUUAAUUUUUGGUCCCGUUUUCAAAUUGGUCUACAUUAAAGUCCAAAGGGUCCAAAAUUAAACUAAAUUUGAUUUGAACAAAAUUGAAAUCUUGGGCUUUUUUGAUAUGCUGAAUCUAAACAUGUACUUAGAUUUUUGUUUAUGGGCCCAGUUUUCAAGUUGGUUCAAAUCAAGAUCCAAAAUUAUUAUAUUAAGUAUUGUGCAAUAGCAAGAAAUUUUCAAUUGCACAGUAUUCAGCAAUAGCAAGAAAUCUUCAAUUGCACAGUAUUGUGCAAUAGCAAGAAAUUUUCAAUUGCUCAGUAUUGCGCAAUAGCAAGAAAUCUUCAAUUGCACAGUAUUGUGCAAUAGUAAAUAUUUUCAAUUGCACAGUAUUGUGCAAUAGCCAGAAAUAUCUAAUUGCACAAUAUUGUGCAAUAGCAAAAAAUUUUC